GGUGAUGGGGAAGGAGGGAGAUUUUUACUAUAUGCUCUGUUAUAACUUUUAAAUUUCAGUGAAACCAUGUGCAAGAGUUUCCUAUUGCAAAAAAUCCCAGUCUCUUCAGUGGCACUCAACUUUUUCAAGUCACAAGAUGGAAGCGCUUUGGAAGAGGAGUAAAGGACCUGGACUCUGAUUCCAUGCCACCGCAAACUCGGGCAGGCACUUCAAAGCAGAGAGUCUCAUUUUCCACUUCUGAAAAACACAUGGUCUAGAUGAGCUCUAAGUCCUUUGCACUCAAUAAUUUCACAGUCUUUUUUAUUAUUAAUAUUAUUUUCAAUUGAAAAAUCAUAAUUGUAUAUUUAUGGGGUACAAUGUGAUGUUUUGAUAUAUGUAUUCAAUAAGGAAUUAUUAAAUCAAGAUAAUUAACAUA
rnacentral:lncRNA from 10 species